CAAGAACCAAGAAGAGUCAGUGCUUAGAGAAAGUGCCUGUGAGAAACAUUGAUGAGUCCCCACAUCAAGAAGUUUUCUACACUCUCUUCACAAAAGCUGUGCACCACAGAACUGGCUUGAAAGAGCUUCAUCUGAUAAUUCCAAUAGCCGAGAUCUCAGGGCAGUUUCUGUGGUGUUCAGCAAGAUUUCAUGUUUAUUGGAGCUAUAGAAGACAUUUAUUGCUUCAUACACCGGGAUCUCUUUUGGGAUUCUUAUUGAAAUACAUGCCAUUAAAUCACCUUCAGCCAG